GAGGGUAUAGCUCAGUGGUGGUGUGUGCUUAGCAUGCAUGAGGUCCUAGGUUCAAUCCCCAGUACCUCCA
rnacentral:tRNA from 1 species